GACGAACGCUGGCGGCGUGCUUAACACAUGCAAGUCGAACGGAAAGGCCCUGCUCUUGUGGGGUGCUCGUGUGGCGAACGGGUGAGUAUCACGCGUGUAACCUGCCCUUGACUGUGUGAUAACUUCAGGAAACUGGGGCUAAUACCGGAUAUGAGCUCCUGCUGCAUGGUGUUGGUUGGAAAGUGUCGGCGGUUGUGGAUGGACUCGCGGCUUAUCAGCCUGUUUGGCUGGUAGUUGCUUUCCAAGGCUUUGACGGGUAGCCGGCCUGGGAGGGUGGACGGGGACAAUAGUCCUGAGAUACGGAGCAGACUGCAACGGGAGGCAGUAGUGGGGAGUAUUGCAGAGUAAGCGGAAGCCUGAUGCAGCAACGCCGCGUGCGGGAUGACGGCUUUCGGGUUGUAAACAGAUUUGGCAUGUGACGAAGAGUGCGUGACGGUAAUGGGUCAAGAAGCACCGGCUAACUACGUG
rnacentral:rRNA from 1 species